UUCAGGCAAAUACUGGCGUGGGAGCCAAGAACGUAACUCUGAAGGGCAUCUGGACUCAUUUUAUUCGUAUUCAUCCCCAAAGCCGUCAUGGGAAAUGGAGGUGCAUGCGCCUUGCUUUGUACGGAUGCCAAACAGGAACAGACGGUCCAACAAUGUACAUUUAUAAUGAUGUGUUAAACGAUGCGCCUAAUGCGGAGACGCCAUUAAAAGAAACUCUCUUCUUAGGUAAGAUUAUCUUCUAUAAAAUAAAUGAGAUACUACGCGCGCUGUCAUUGGUUGAUAGGUGUGUUUAGAUGAGAGUACGUAAACACGGAUGUAACGUUGUAAAUUCGAGCUUUUUUUCAGAAACAUUUUACAAAAGCAAUAGAGCACUAUUUCCGUGUUUACCUAGCCUCAUCUAAAUACCGCAAGGGUUCGGAAAAUUCUCGAAAGUUAUGCAAGCCCUCGACUCCGUCUUGGGUUUACAUAACUGUCUCGAAUUUUCCGAACCCCUUCUUGUUUAGAUUAGGCUGUGUAGACACGGGAAAAAAGUGCUCUAUUGCUUAGAUAACAAUCCCAUCACAUGUUCUUGGAUCUUGUACUUAAAAUGGUAUUGAAAGUGUCAUUAAUGCUGAGAACAAGUUAAAUCUGAGCAGUUAAACUUUCAGCUGAAAAAAUCAACAAGCAACAAUCACCCUCAUCUUCUUGGUUUACACUCACUAGUCACAAAAUCGUUGUUUCAAAUAUCAGUGUUCAAAAGUUGGUGUAAAAUUGAUGGAAAGAUGACGCUGCAUGAGUCGAGGGUCGUGGUAACCUGGAACAUGGUACCUGAACUUCCCUGGAAAACUAAAAUAAGUCCGGUUUUAGGCACAGGUUUCUAGGAACAACGUUUAGAGUUACAACCCCAUCACGCUUUUUUUUUUUUUUUUUUUUUUUUUUUUCUUUUCUUUCUACCAAUUAAGCAGAUAUUAUAGGCACGAUAUUUUUCCCAUCUUGUUUUUUGGUAGCUGCAAGCGAGGUAAACGGAAGUGUCGUGACAGCGUGACAAUUUCAUAAGUUGACAGCUAGGAUCACGAGAUUCGUUAACAUUGCAAUCGGAGAAAUGAGUGAUUGUGAAAUAGGUUUUUAUCGAGAGAACACAGAAAAUAGGACGCGUUGUAACACUGGAAGAGAAUUAACAAGGAUUUGUCGAGUACAAAUGAGUUGUGAGCGUGCGAGUUAAGGUGUGCCCCACAAGUUUGGUACAGAGGAAACUUCUGCUUAAUCUUUAUUUGGUUUGCAAGGAGUUGUGAUUUUUUCAGCCCAGUAAAUUGUAUUGACUUUCACUGGGGCGAGCGAAUAUGGGUUUUAUCCCAAAACUUUUAUAUUGCGCGAAAUAAGCAGUCGUCCAGUCCUUCGAGUUUACGGGGGAACUAUUAAAAAA